GACGAACGCUGGCGGCGUGCCUAAUACAUGCAAGUCGAGCGGACGAAUCGAAAGCUUGCUUUUGAUUCGUUAGCGGCGGACGGGUGAGUAACACGUGGGCAACCUGCCCUGUAGACGGGGAUAACACCGAGAAAUCGGUGCUAAUACCGGAUAACACGAAAUGUCGCAUGACGUUUCGUUGAAAGACGGCGCAAGCUGUCGCUACAGGAUGGGCCCGCGGCGCAUUAGCUAGUUGGUGAGGUAACGGCUCACCAGGGCGACGAUGCGUAGCCGACCUGAGAGGGUGAUCGGCCACACUGGGACUGAGACACGGCCGAGACUCCUACGGGAGGCAGCAGUAGGGAAUCUUCCGCAAUGGACGAAAGUCUGACGGAGCAACGCCGCGUGAGCGAAGAAGGCCUUCGGGUCGUAAAGCUCUGUUGUUAGGGAAGAACAAGUAACGCAGUAACUGGCGUUACCGUGACGGUACCUAACGAGAAAGCCACGGCUAACUACGUG
rnacentral:rRNA from 1 species